ACAACGAAGAGUUUGAUCCUGGCUCAGGAUGAACGCUAGCGACAGGCUUAACACAUGCAAGUCGAGGGGCAGCGGGGGUGAUGGCUUGCCAUCACCUGCCGGCGACCGGCGCACGGGUGAGUAACACGUAUGCAACCUGCCC
rnacentral:rRNA from 1 species